GCCUGGCUGCACCUCUCCUAGACCCAUUUAAGAGCUGACUGCCAGGGGGGAAGGAUCUCUUCUGGAAAUCUGCUCCCUGGAGUCUAUUUUGCAAGCUCUGGAUAGGGGCAAUGGUCAAUCAGCAGGCAGUCAGAUCUGCUCUGAACAAGCCACGUGCUGCCCAACAUUCAACCAGAGAGAGCAUCACAGGAGGAAAGUGGUGGUAUUCUUAGGCAAUGAAGAGGAGGGAGGAGGGGACACUGAAGAGGAGUGGGGUUACUGAAAAAUGGCAAGUGGGGACAUGAAACAAAUUUGGAAAAUAUCAGGAUUUCUUAAUUUUGCCUCUGGAAUUACUCAUUUUUCUGUUUCUUUGUAUAGCUGUGAACACAGUGCUGAUCAGAGCUUGUGGAAAUGCAGCUUCUUCAGCUUCAGCCCUAGGUGGGUCACAUGGAAGGAGACCAGGUUAAGUAGGAUCUGCCUUUCCCGAACCCAUGCUGACUUGCCUGAUCACCUGGUUAUCCUGAAUGUGCUGUGUGAUGUGCUCAUGAUGGCCUGCUCCAUGACUUUCCCUGGCAUCGAUGUCAGACUAACUUGACCUGCCAUUCAACAAGUCCCCCUUCCUGUGCUUCCUGUAUAUGUGUCACAUUUGCCAUCCUCCAGUCAACAGACACCACCUCAGAUAGCCAGAACAGUUGGUAAAUCACUGGAAGUAGCUUGGAGAAUGGGGAGAAAGCAUGUCAGUGCCUCACAACUAAGACUGCCACAUAUCAUCCCAUGAUUUAAAAGUAGAUUUCUGAUCAACCAAAAAACUUCCUGAACAUCUGCCUGCUUCCCAUAGAAAACUGUAAAUGUCCUCUGAAAACCCCCAACUAGAAAACUCUUU